GACAGGUAGCUCAGCCAGUAGAGCACGAGACUCUUAAUCUCCAGGGUCGUGGGUUUGAUUCCUGCAUUGUAGGGGGCU